rnacentral:rRNA from 1 species
UACGUAGGGCGCAAGCGUUGUCCGGAAUUAUUGGGCGUAAAGAGCUCGUAGGCGGCCAGUUGCGUCUGCUGUGAAAUCCCGGGGCUCAACCCCGGGCGUGCAGUGGAUACGGGCUGGCUAGAGGCAGGCAGGGGAGAACGGAAUUCCCAGUGUAGAGGUGAAAUUCGUAGAUAUUGGGAAGAACACCGGUGGCGAAGGCGGCGCUCUGGACCGAGACUGACGCUGAGGCGCGAAAGCGUGGGGAGCAAACAGG